UCCCAGUCCACCCCUGUCUAGACCGGUUACUCGCUGAAGCUAAGCAGGGCUGAGCCUGGUCAGUACCUGGAUGGGAGACCACAUGGGUAAACUAGGUUACUGUUGGAA
rnacentral:rRNA from 1 species